ACGGAAGGCAGCAGUGAGGAAUAUUGGUCAAUGGGCGGAAGCCUGAACCAGCCAAGUCGCGUGAAGGAUGAAGGUCUUAUGUAUUGUGAACUUCUUUAGACGUAGAGAAAUAAGGGGGUCGUGAUCCCUGAUGCUAGUAUACGUAGAAUAAGGAUCGGCUAACUCCGUGCCAGCAGCCGCGGUAAUACGGAGGAUCCGAGCGUUAUCCGGAUUUAUUGGGUUUAAAGGGUGCGCAGGCGGUCUUUUAAGUCAGUGGUUAAAUCGUGGAGCUUAACUCCAUCCCGCCAUCGAUACUGGAGGACUUGAUUGCGGUUGAGGUUGGCGGAAUUCGCCGUGUAGCGGUGAAAUGCAUAGAUAUGGCGAAGAACUCCGAUUGCGUAGGCAGCUGACCAAGCCGUAAAUGACGCUCAUGCACGAAAGUGCGGGGAUCGAACAGGAUUAGAUACCCUGGUA
rnacentral:rRNA from 1 species